UAAUACAGAGGUCCCAAGCGUUGUUCGGAUUUACUGGGCGUAAAGGGUGCGUAGGCGGUCGGGUAAGUCUGAUGUGAAAUCUCGCAGCUCAACUGCGAAACUGCAUUGGAUACUAUUCGGCUUGAGGUCUGGAGGGGGGACUGGAAUUCUCGGUGUAGCAGUGAAAUGCGUAGAUAUCGAGAGGAACACCAGUGGCGAAGGCGAGUCCCUGGACAGAUCCUGACGCUGAGGCACGAAAGCUAGGGGAGCAAACAGGAUUAGAUACCCUGGUAGUCCUAGCCGUAAACGGUGCGUAUUUGCUGUAAAAGGAAUCGACCCCUUUUGUGGCGUAGCAAACGCGUUAAAUACGCCGCCUGGGAAGUACGGUCGCAAGAUUAAAACUCAAAGAAAUUGACGGGGGCCUGCACAAGCGGUGGAGUAUGUGGCUUAAUUCGAUGCAACGCGAAGAACCUUACCUGGCCUUGACAUGCAAGUAGUAGAAGGAUGAAAGUCUGACGAGGUAGCAAUACCAGCUUGCACAGGUGCUGCAUGGCUGUCGUCAGCUCGUGUCGUGAGAUGUUGGGUUAAGUCCCGCAACGAGCGCAACCCCUGUGUCCUGUUGCCACCCGGCCGAGAGGCUGGAGCACUCCGGACAGACUGCCUCGCUUCAACGAGGAGGAAGGUGGGGAUGACGUCAAGUCAGUAUGGCCCUUACGGCCAGGGCUGCACACGUACUACAAUGCCCGGCACAAAGGGAAGCAAGAUCGCAAGAUGGAGCAAAUCCCCAAAAACCGGGCCCAGUUCAGAUUGUCGUCUGCAACUCGACGGCAUGAAGCUGGAAUCGCUAGUAAUGGCGCAUCAGCUACGGCGCCGUGAAUACGUUCCCAGGCCUUGUACACACCGCCCGUCACAUCAUGAAAGCCGUUUGUACCCGAAGUCGCCCCUUAAAAGGUGCCGAAGGUAUGGAUGGUGAUUGGGAUG
rnacentral:rRNA from 1 species